GAACCUUCAAUCUGCCCUGACGCUGAUGAGCCACUCAGUAAUGCCCUGGGAGCUUCACUCUAGAACGGGGAAAGGGGGAUAGGAUGAAGUUUUUGCUCAGAUCUUUCCGAGGCCGCACUGCCCAUCUCGCGUGAAUGCUUGGAGACAAAUGCCUGGCUCAAGUUGGAAAAGACAGACAAGAGAUUGUGCCGGGGAAACCCCCCGGAGAGUGCGUUCAACAGGACAGGUGGACGGAAGCACAGGCGGUGUGCUAGGUACUAAAGACACGAAAAUGCAAUCCUUGCUUUCAGCAAGCUCACUACGGUCUAACGGAGACGACUUUUAACAUAAAUAGUAAUUGUAAAACGAUGUGAUGAGUCCAAUGAUGGAAUAAUGAAGGAGGACGGCAGAGGGCCACUUAACUGGCCAGGAAGGCUUGGACAUGGUGACGCCCACCAUAGAUCAUGCCGGAUAAGGAGGAGCAGACCUAGCGAACAGGAGGCAAAGACCAUUGGAAGACAAUGGGGAAGAGAGCCUCAGAAUUACCUUGAGAGCUUUUUAAAAGUACAUGUGAUUCCACAGGGGGAAAUUGCAAAACAGACAGAUCACAACCCCAUAGAAUUGUAUGAUCUGCCUUUUUA
rnacentral:lncRNA from 10 species